rnacentral:tRNA from 1 species
GGUCGUUUAGCUCAGCUGGGAGAGCACCUCCCUUACAAGGAGGGGGUCACAAUGAUUUAGAUGGGUCG